GAAAUUUUCUUACCUUGUACAGUUCAGAUCUCACUUCCACGUGGCACAUUGGCACGUGCAGGAAAGUAGAAUUCAAAAUUGUACUUUUGCAACUGUAUGUAGCCAGGAUAGGGUUUUGCACUUCCAAAACUGUUUAGUGUUUAUUGGUUGACCUUUCCAAGCUCUGAGUGAUCUCAUGACUAGUGAAUUAUCUUGUUGGUUUUAUGAUAUUUAUAAGCGGGAGUAGGAUUCAAUCUUGAUAUAUCAUAUUAUUAAUUAUAACGUUAAGAAAUGGAUUAUAAGUGGGAGUAGGAUUCAAUUUUAUGAUAUUAUGUUUUUGGCACCAAAUAUCAGUUUGUAAAGGCAAUAUUGACAGGUAAAAGAAAAUCAUUAAAAUUGUUUAGGUGGUACAUAAGUUUUCCGAAAAGAAAGAGAAAUUUAGAUUUUUUGCUAAUGGUUUGUGUUCUGUCUUUAUGUAGCCCUGUAUGAAGAUUCAGUUUAGAGUCUCAUCUUUUGCAAUUCACUUACUUGAGAAGGUAACAUAGGAAAUGGUGAAAGGGUGGGAAGCUAAUCUUCUCAUUUGAUGCAACAAAGAAAGCUCGCUUUGGUGUACUCCCACGAUAUGCAAAAGAUGAGCUUCAAAUCAGAUGGUUUGAGCUCCCAAAUUGCUUUAUCUUCCAUAAUGGUACACUUACAAGUUGGGGCAUAGGUUAUUCAAUGGUUCGUACAUUUGGAGUCAGACAUUUCACUUCAAAGCAUCUCCUUAUCCUAGACAGGAUUCUUUACAGCGUGUAGUAAUUUUUCGUGACAUGGGAAAGGUGGGAAGCGCCUUGUUCCUGUGGGUCUAGGAGAUGAUGAUCAAUGCAUUGAGGGAGCUUCACACGCCAUCUCCGCAAAGCUAUAAUUUAAAGUGUUAACCUUUAAUGUCUCUUAUUUUGUGAAUUUGAUUUUGCAAUGAAACAUCU